rnacentral:rRNA from 1 species
CGGACGGGUGAGUAACGCGUGGAAAACCUGCCGUAUACUGGGGGAUAACACUUAGAAAUAGGUGCUAAUACCGCAUAAGCGCACAGCUUCGCAUGAAGCGGUGUGAAAAACUCUGGUGGUAUACGAUGGUUCCGCGUCUGAUUAGCUAGUUGGUGGGGUAAUGGCCUACCAAGGCAACGAUCAGUAGCCGGCCUGAGAGAGUGAACGGCCACAUUGGGACUGAGACACGGCCCAAACUCCUACGGGAGGCAGCAG